UAGCUCACUCGGUUAGAGCAUGGUGCUGAUAACACCAAGGUCGCAGGUUCGAUCCCUGU
rfam:Apaloderma vittatum contig26935, whole genome shotgun sequence.